UAAUUACCAACUCUACGAACUCAACCUCUCUUAACCUCCUAUGGAUCUCGCACAAUCCUCCAGAUUGUCCACGCCCUCACGUUCGAAUCCAUGAACGCCACGCACAUGUCCGAAUCCACAGAUGCCACUCGAAUCCACGAGCUCUCGAUCCAAAUCCUCGAACCGUCUUCGGUCACGCCAAAUCCACGACGCCGCACAAGAAGAACAUCA
rnacentral:lncRNA from 1 species